rnacentral:rRNA from 1 species
GGCUAAUAUCUUUCAUCAAUGACGGUACCUGAAGAAGAAGCACCGGCUAACUACGUGCCAGCAGCCGCGGUAAUACGUAGGGUGCGAGCGUUAAUCGGAAUUACUGGGCGUAAAGCGUGCGCAGGCGGUUUGGUAAGUCAGAUGUGAAAUCCCCGGGCUUAACCUGGGAACUGCAUUUGAGACUGCAAGACUAGAGUGCGGCAGAGGGGGGUGGAAUUUCACGUGUAGCAGUGAAAUGCGUAGAGAUGUGGAGGAACACCGAUGGCGAAGGCAGCCCCCUGGGUCGACACCGACGCUCAUGCACGAAAGCGUGGGUAGCAAACAGGAUUAGAUACCCUGGUAGUCC